rnacentral:pre_miRNA from 1 species
GGGCAGCAGCAGCAGCAAGUCGGCGUGGAAGGCGAUGGUCGCCUUCGGCCUCCUCGCCCUGGCUCACGCCGCCUUCUCUGCCGCGCA